rnacentral:rRNA from 1 species
UACGGAGGAUGCAAGCGUUAUCCGGAUUUAUUGGGCGUAAAGCGUCCGCAGGUGGCUAUUCAAGUCUGCUGUCAAAGCUCGGAGCUUAACUCCGAAUCGGCGGUGGAAACUGAACAGCUAGAGUGCAGUAGGGGUAGAGGGAAUUCCCAGUGUAGCGGUGAAAUGCGUAGAGAUUGGGAAGAACACCGGUGGCGAAAGCGCUCUACUGGACUGCAACUGACACUCAGGGACGAAAGCUGGGGGAGCGAAUGGG